rnacentral:rRNA from 1 species
UGGCUCAGAUUGAACGCUGGCGGAAUGCUUUACACAUGCAAGUCGAACGGUAGAGGGGGCAGCCCUUGAGAGUGGCGAACGGGUGAGUAAUAUAUCGGAACGUGCCCAGUCGUGGGGAUAACGUAGCGAAAGUUACGCUAAUACCGCAUACGAUCUAAGGAUGAAAGCGGGGAUCGCAAGACCUCGCGCGAUUGGAGCGGCCGAUAUCAGAUUAGGUAGUUGGUGAGGUAAAGGCUCACCAAGCCAACGAUCUGUAGCUGGUCUGAGAGGACGACCAGCCACACUGGAACUGAGACACGGUCCAGACUCCUACGGGAGGCAGCAGUGGGGAAUUUUGGACAAUGGACGCAAGUCUGAUCCAGCCAUUCCGCGUGCAGGAUGAAGGCCCUCGGGUUGUAAACUGCUUUUGUACGGAACGAAAAGGUUUGUCUUAAUACGAUGAGCUCAUGACGGUACCGUAAGAAUAAGCACCGGCUAACUACGUG